rnacentral:rRNA from 1 species
ACGGGAGGCAGCAGUGGGGGAUAUUGCACAAUGGAGGGAACUCUGAUGCAGCAACGCCGCGUGAGGGAAGAAGGUCUUCGGAUUGUAAACCUAAGUUGUCAGGGACGAAAUAAAUGACGGUAACUGAAGAGAAAGCUCCGGCUAACUACGUGCCAGCAGCCGCGGUAAUACGUAGGGAGCGAGCGUUGUCCGGAUUUACUGGGUGUAAAGGGUGCGUAGGCGGGCCUGCAAGUCAGGCGUGAAAUCCCGUGGCUCAACUGCGGGGCUGCGCUUGAAACUGGAGGUCUUGAGUGAAGUAGAGGAAAGCGGAAUUCCUAGUGUAGCGGUGAAAUGCGUAGAUAUUAGGAGGAACACCAGUGGCGAAGGCGACUUGCUGGGCUUCAACUGACGCUGAGGCACGAAAGCAUGGGGAGCAAACAGGAUUAGAUACCCUGGUA